UUCGGUUGACUAUUUGCCCACUCCACAUAUUUACAAAAUUUUCUAUGUUUUUAAACUCAGCGAAAGGAGGACACGGUCUAAGAUCCCCUUGGGAUUUUUUGAUGAUUAGGUAAUUACUCUACCAGACUAUUUUUAUAAGAAUAUCAUGUGAUAUGUUGUCCGUGACCUCCCGCGUUGCCCCGCAGGCGACGGGAAGGAACCUAGCUGCCCCGAGUGCCGCCCUCCCCUCCCUCUCCUGCCAGCGUCAGAGGGCGUGACCUGGUGAAGCCCGACCACCAUCAGCGGUGGCAAGAGCCUCCACCCCCUUGCUUGUGGAUCAGGUGCUGGUCGGAGUAGAUGGACCAUGGUAUCUCGAUUUGGAGUCUUGUGGUAGCGCGGCUCGACUCCAGGUAGCCUUCUGGUGGCGGGCAUUGCAGCUAAUCCCUAUUGGUGGCACGCGUCUUUGUUGGCGGCAGUGGCGACCUCGCCUAGAUCCGUCAUUUGUUGGCACCUAGCGGUGAGGGUUGGGCACGGCAUGGACCGGUGUUGAACGUCCUUUGGGCGACGGCGGCUCGGCGUACAACCGAUUGAUUCCAGGAAGCUGAGGUCGGGGUGGUACAACCGCUGGUGAAAAUCACGCUGACUUCGGUCUUGGCAUACAAUGGUGACAUCUUUGGCGUUGUUUCCUUGUCAAGGCAUCAUAGUUGCAGUCUGUGUCAUGUUGCUCGGGCUUCUCCGGGGAAAAUAAUAGAUCUGGGUCUCUCGGAUCAGACAAUGACAUAGCCUUUGUUGACGUUCUUCCUCCUGAAGGAAUUGUUUUGAAGCAGGUGUUGACUAGAGGGGCUAUGACGUGGUGCAGUUUGGCAUAUAUCGCGUCAACGGCGGCGGGUCUCAACGACAGAUGCGUGAUGAUGGACUCGUGCGGGAAGAUGUCAUUGUCUAGCGUCCUGCCGAUAUAGAUUGCAAGCCUGGCAGGAUGGAUGUAUCAGUACCUGCUCUAAAGAUGGAUCAGUGGAAUACGGUGGUGACGACUCAUGCAACAUUCGCAUGUGGUGCUCACUGAGUGCACCGGACGAGUGUGUGCCCCCUACCCGGCAAUGCGGCUUGGUUGGGGCCUCCGGCAUUAGAUGUUAGGCUUUGAUGUGAGGUUAGAUUGGUAUUCCGCUCGGACAAUCGGCACCCCUCCAUCAACUGGUUAGGAAUAGAGACAUAUGUUGUCAAG
rnacentral:lncRNA from 1 species